GGAUGAACUGCAGAUAUCAUGGGAACUGACAUUGCUUCCCUGCUAAUCAGCUCUCCUCAUAAUACACUAGAAGUCAAGUUGAUCUUUGCAGGAGCCUCUGCUGGGAUACAAGGGAAGCCCUUCAGCAACCCAUUCUUCCAAAGCCAGAGUUCUUUCCCCCAUUGAUUGGACAUCCUUUAGUUCUUUCCAGGUGUGGAAGUGAAUGUUUAUCUCCUACUGAAAUUUUAUGCACACAAGGUCAGAAGAAGCUCCUUCAACCUGAGAGCAAAGUAGCACAUUAAAUUCCAGAACAUGAAACAGGCCAUUUUGAGCUACACCAAAAGCUAUCCAAGGAGAAUAUGGUCUGAAAUAACCACAGGUGAACAUCUUUUCUGGGAACAGAGGAAUCAGAUGCUGAACUUACCAAAAAUGCUGAAAAUGAUGCUUUGUAGCAGAGAAUCACUUCACUUGGCU